UACAUGCAAGUUCGAGCGAGUUGAAAUUAACUGCAUCCCUUCGGGGUUGAUGUUAAUGGGAUCUAGCGGCGGGACGGGGUGGAGAUAACACGUGGGGCAACCUACCUACAAGNAUCGGGAUAACUCCGGGGAAACCGGGGCUAAUACCGGAUAAUACUUUUUAUCACAUGAUGAGAAGAUGAAAGGCGGSGCAAGCUGUCACUUGUAKAUGGGCCCGCGGCGCAUUASCUAKUUGGUGGGGUAAUGGCUCACCAAGGCAACGAUGCGUAGCCGACCUGAGAGGGUGAUCGGCCACACUGGGACUGAGACACGGCCCASACUCCUACGGGAGGCAGCAGUAGGGAAUCUUCCGCAAUGGACRAAAGUCUGACGGAKCAACGCCGCGUGAGCGAUGAARGUCUUCGGAUCGUAAAGCUCUGUUGUUAGGGAAGAACAAGUACAAGAGUAACUGCUUGUACCUUGACGGUACCUAACCAGAAAGCCACGGCUAACUACGUGCCAGCASCCGCGGUAAUACGUAGGUGGCAAGCGUUGUCCGGAAUUAUUGGGCGUAAAGCGCGCGCAGGCGGUCCUUUAAGUCUGAUGUGAAAGCCCACGGCUUAACCGUGGAGGGUCAUUGGAAACUGGGGGACUUGAGUACAGAAGAGGAGAGUGGAAUUCCACGUGUAGCGGUGAAAUGCGUAGAGAUGUGGAGGAACACCAGUGGCGAAGGCGACUCUCUGGUCUGUAACUGACGCUGAGGCGCGAAAGCAUGGGUAGCGAACAGGAUUAGAUACCCUGGUAGUCCAUGCCGUAAACGAUGAGUGCUAGGUGUUAGGGGGUUUCCGCCCCUUAGUGCUGAAGUUAACGCAUUAAGCACUCCGCCUGGGGAGUACGGCCGCAAGGCUGAAACUCAAAAGAAUUGAUCGGGGGCCCGCACAAGCGGUGAGCAUUN
rnacentral:rRNA from 1 species